AUCACCCUCACCCACUCAAUUUUUCAUCAAAAUUUUUUUAGUAAUCAUGCAAGAAAUCAUUUAUAUGUGCUUCUAGGAGUGGCUUAAGCAAGAAGCAAACUUCAAAUUUCUUCCUCCCUUUAUGUUUAGUCUCAACAGCCCCUUCCUCCAUGAUUUUCCAGGUCUUCAAUCUCACUGUAAUCUCAUGGAAAAUAACUUAUGAGCUUGCCUUAGAGCAUUAAAGAAUGGAUCAAUCAUAAGGUGAAUGGUAUGAUCACCUUUUCAUGGAAAUUUAUUUAGUGUAAGCUUUGUUGUAUGUUGAAUGUGUAAUUGAAGAUGAUUAUGUGUAAUAAAGGUAUUUAGAAACAUGGUAUGAAGAAUGAUUAUAAGCUAGGAGCAUUGGUGUGAGAAUUUAGGACUUAAAGCGUGUAAGUUGUUUCUAUAAACUAUUACAAGUGAUUAUUAAGCAUAGCAUGAUGAAAUUUCGUAGAAAUGGGUUAGGAGAUAUGUAUACAUGUUUUCUUUGAUUCUGGAAAAUUAGAAUAGAAAUUGAAUUGUUUAGAGGGCAUAAGCUGUCAGUUAAGCUGUUUUAAGUAAAAUGCCUUAAAUGACUAAGUUGUGGUUUACACUGCUGUAUAAGUGAUUCAUAGGGCUGAUUAUUCACGUUGGAACUGUUGUGUCAAAAGUCGUAAGUUGCGAGUUAAACCCUUUGGAUAAUAGCUUAAGUUGGAAUUUAAGUUGUGUCUUGUAAUGAACAGUUUAGGAGAGAUAUUUUGAAUUGUUAUAUGAGCAAUGGAAAAAGAAUAAGGUGUUCUAAUCAUGGUAAAGGUGCUUAAAUGGUAAUUAAGCUGUUUUGGACGUGCUUAAAUAGCCAAACGGCGAACUUCCGGUGCAGGGACUGGAAUGGAAUUUUUUUGUAUAUGCUGGUUGAUGAAGUAAGAGUAUGUCACAAAUGAGCUGAGUUGUUUCGGAAAGAGAAAAACCUAUAAGCCAAGACAUAAGCUAUUUUGGAAAAUGGAUUAUGGAGUUUUGGAGCUAGCAAAAGCUGCAAAUUGUGGAUAAGCUGCUUGCAAUUUCGGGACUAAUGCCAAGAUAUACAAGUUAUUAUACGAUAGGAUGGUUCGUAAUGAAGAAGAAGUAGCAGCUUGACCAUAUAAAGUACACGUUAGUGGAACUAUUUCUGAGGUAACACGCGAGAAAUUCAAUGAUUUGUUCAGAGAAUAUUUAUUUAUUGUAAUUUUAAUGUAUCCGACGCCAAGUUUAACACACAUGCUAGAUAUCCUAGGUGAUUUCUAGUAGGGGUGUUUCAUAUUCCCUACCGUUCGUUGCAGCCGUAACAACGUUUCGUUGCCGCGUAAUAAGAUUUUGCUUUCUUUGUUUAUGUGAUUUUUGUUUUUGUGAUUUUUGGUUAUGUGAUUUUUGUUCUCUAUGUUAUAACGGAGAAGAACAGUAUCUGACACUCCUUAGUCCCUGUACCUUUUUGUGGUGGCCAUUUUCAAGGUAACAAACCUUUUUAUAAAACCUUGGCAACAAGUAAACUA